UCUGCUGGAAUGGACGUGGGAGCAGGGCCGAGGUGCUGCUGCUGGUGGUGAUGGUGAUGAUGGUGAUAGUGAGGGAACUGCCUCAACCGGCGGUUGAGAC
rnacentral:miRNA from 1 species